rnacentral:rRNA from 1 species
GAGUUUGAUCCUGGCUCAGAACGAAUUCUGGCGGCAGGCCUCAUACAUGCAAGUCUAACGAACCCUUCGGGGUGAGUGGCGCACGGGUGCGUAACACGUGGGAAUAUGCCCAUUGGUACGGAAUAACUUUUGGAAACGAAAGCUAAUACCGUAUAGUCCCUCCGGGGUAAAGAUUUAUCGCCAAUGGAUUAGCCCGCGUCUGAUUAGCUAGUUGGUAGGGUAAUGGCCUACCAAGGCGACGAUCAGUAGCUGGUCUGAGAGGAUGAUCAGCCACACUGGGACUGAGACACGGCCCAGACUCCUACGGGAGGCAGCAGUAGGGAAUAUUGGACAAUGGGCGCAAGCCUGAUCCAGCCAUGCCGCGUGAGUGAAGAAGGCCUUCGGGUUGUAAAGCUCUUUUAACUGUGAAGAUAAUGACGGUAGCAGUAGAAAAAGCCCCGGCUAACUUCGUGCCAGCAGCCGCGGUAAUACGAAGGGGGCAAGCGUUGUUCGGAAUUACUGGGCGUAAAGCGUGCGUAGGCGGCCAAGCAAGUUGGAAGUGAAAUCCCAGGGCUCAACCCUGGAACUGCUUUCAAAACUGCUUGGCUAGAAUCUCGGAGAGGAUAGCGGAAUUUCCAGUGUAGAGGUGAAAUUCGUAGAUAUUGGAAGGAACACCAGUGGCGUAGGCGGCUAUCUGGACGAGUAUUGACGCUAAGGCACGAAAGUGUGGGGAGCAAACAGGAUUAGAUACCCUGGUAGUCCACACCGUAAACGAUGUGUGCUAGUUGUCGGGCAGUAUACUGUUCGGUGACGCAGCUAACGCAUUAAGCACWCCGCCUGGGGAGUACGGCCGCAAGGUUAAAACUCAAAGGAAUUGACGGGGACCCGCACAAGCGGUGGAGCAUGUGGUUUAAUUUGACGCAACGCGGAGAACCUUACCAGCCCUUGACAUCCUGGUCGCGGGGAGUGGAGACACACCCUUUCAGUUCGGCUGGACCAGUGACAGGUGGUGCACGGCUGUCGUCAGCUCGUGUCGUGAGAUGUUAGGUUAAGUCCUGCAACGAGCGCAACCCCUAUCGUCUGUUGCCAUCAUUAAGUUGGGCACUCUGGCGAGACUGCCGGUGAUAAGCCGGAGGAAGGCGGGGAUGACGUCAAGUCAUCAUGCCCCUUAUGGGCUGGGCUACACACGUGCUACAAUGGCGGUGACAAUGGGCAGCGACCUCGCGAGGGGAAGCAAAUCCCUAAAAACCGUCUCAGUUCGGAUUGCACUCUGCAACUCGAGUGCAUGAAGUUGGAAUCGCUAGUAAUCGUGGAUCAGCAUGCCACGGUGAAUACGUUCCCGGGUCUUGUACACACCGCCCGUCAAGUGAUGGGAAUUGGUUUCACCUGAAGCCGGUGCGCUAACCUUUUGGAAGCAGCCGACCACGGUGGGAUCAGUGGCUGGCAAUAAGUUGUAACAAGGUAGCCGUAGGGGAACCUGCGGCUGGAUCACCUCCUUUCU